rnacentral:rRNA from 1 species
AUUGAACGCUGGCGGCAUGCCUUACACAUGCAAGUCGAACGGCAGCAUGGAGAGCUUGCUCUCUGAUGGCGAGUGGCGAACGGGUGAGUAAUGCAUCGGAACGUACCGUGUAAUGGGGGAUAACGUAGCGAAAGUUACGCUAAUACCGCAUACGACCUGAGGGUGAAAGCAGGGGAUCGCAAGGCCUUGCGUUAUACGAGCGGCCUACGUCGGAUUAGCUAGUUGGUGGGGUAAAGGCCUACCAAGGCGACGAUCCGUAGCUGGUCUGAGAGGACGAUCAGCCACACUGGGACUGAGACACGGCCCAGACUCCUACGGGAGGCAGCAGUGGGGAAUAUUGGACAAUGGGGGCAACCCUGAUCCAGCAAUGCCGCGUGUGUGAAGAAGGCCUUCGGGUUGUAAAGCACUUUCAGUGGGGAAGAAAGAACCAAAAUUAAUACUUUUGGGUGUUGACGUUACCCACAGAAGAAGCACUGGCUAACUCUGUGCCAGCCGCCGCAGUAA